GACGAACGCUGGCGGCGUGCCUAAUACAUGCAAGUCGAGCGAACGACGGGAGCUUGCUCCCGUUCGUUAGCGGCGGAUGGGUGAGUAACACGUGGGCAACCUGCCUGUAAGACUGGGAUAACUUCGGGAAACCGGAGCUAAUACCGGAUAACUUCUUUUCCCUCCUGGGAAAAGGUUGAAAGACGGUUUACGCUGUCACUUACAGAUGGGCCCGCGGCGCAUUAGCUAGUUGGUGGGGUAAUGGCUCACCAAGGCAACGAUGCGUAGCCGACCUGAGAGGUGAUCGGCCACACUGGGACUGAGACACGGCCCAGACUCCUACGGGAGGCUG
rnacentral:rRNA from 1 species